GCACGACUCGCUUUCUGCUUUUAGUCACAAUAAUCGCCAACGUGCUGCGAGCAGUUACUUCUGGGUCCGGCUGUGGCUGCGCCCCUCAUCUCAUUUAACGACUCCUUUAAAACCCCGUUUUACAGAUAAAGAAACUGAGUCCCCACUAGUGAGCGAUUCAGCCCGCCCUGCGGCAGGAACAGAGGAGAAAUCAAGUCAUGGGGACUGUGAGUCAAGAAACACUGGGACUCAGCCAGGCUCGGUCUGGCAACUCGGGACAUCAUCCAGCAUUCAGCUUCCCCCAUCUGACAGCUGGGGUCCAACCCGGGCAAGUGGGUAGGCAGCAUGUGGAGAGAAAGACUGGACGCCCUGCCCCGAGGCACACCUGGUGCACCUUCCCACAGGGCAGGGUGGAUGCCGAUUCUAAGUUCCAAGCUUGACUACUCAUGUGACCAGACGGCCUGUUUCUCUGGGGAACUCCCAACAAGGUUGCAUGUCUCUAGCUUUUGCACACACCAAUACACAAC
ensembl:lncRNA